AAGGUUCCCACUUAGUAUUGGAGGGAAGACAAAAUGCUGAUGAAGAAUGGAUCUCAGAGCUAAGACUGACUGGAGAUGCACUGGUAUUGCCCAGAGUGGCUGUUGAAGCAUCGCCGACAGAUCUGCUUAGAAAGAAGAAGCUGAAGGACAAAGCUAUCGAUCUAAUUGUAACAGAAUGCAAGGAAAUGGGAUAUGAUGGUAUUGUGUUAG
rnacentral:misc_RNA from 1 species